UACAGAGGUCUCAAGCGUUGUUCGGAUUCAUUGGGCGUAAAGGGGUGCGUAGGCGGCGCGGUAAGUCGGGUGUGAAAGUCUUGGAGCUUAACUCCGAAACUGCAUUCGAUACUGCCGUGCUUGAGGACUGGAGAGGAAACUGGAAUUUACGGUGUAGCGGUGAAAUGCGUAGAUAUCGUAAGGAAGACCAGUGGCGAAGGCGGGUCUCUGGACAGUUCCUGACGCUGAGGCACGAAGGCCAGGGGAGCAAACGGG
rnacentral:rRNA from 1 species